rnacentral:rRNA from 1 species
CCGGCCGUGUUAAGUUUUCGGUUAAAUCUAUACGCUCAACGUAUAGGCUGCCGGGAAUACUGCAUAGCUAGGGAGUGGGAGAGGUAGACGGUACUCGGUAGGAAGGGGUAAAAUCCUUUGAUCUAUUGAUGACCACCUGUGGCGAAGGCGGUCUACUAGAACACGUCCGACGGUGAGGGAUGAAAGCUGGGGGAGCAAACCGGAUUAGAUACCCGGGUAGUCCCAGCUGUAAACAAUGCAAACUCAGUGAUGCACUGGCUUGUGGCCAGUGCAGUGCCGCAGGGAAGCCGUU